rnacentral:rRNA from 1 species
GACGGAGGAUGCAAGCGUUAUCCGGAAUUAUUGGGCGUAAAGCGCUCGCAGGUGGUCCGUCGCGUCGUGCGUGAAAGACCCCGGCUCAACUGGGGAGGGUCGUGCGAUACGGGCGGACUGGAGGCCAGUAGGGGGAUGCGGAAUUCCGGGUGUAGUGGUGGAAUGCGUAGAGAUCCGGAGGAACACCAGCGGCGAAGGCGGCGUCCUGGACUGGUACUGACGCUCAGGAGCGAAAGCGUGGGGAGCGAUCCGG